AAUUCUCAACCUUUCCAGCUUUUGCAAGUUGGAUUGGCUUGGAUGUGGAGGGUUUUGCGGGCUUCUCAGAAGUCGGCUCCUCUUAAAUGCAUUAGCAGAACCUUUGUGGACCAGCUUUGGUGUGAUAAUUAUCUAUGCCAUUGUUGUAAAGCAGCUUUUAUAUGGGGUUCAGCUUCUAAUAGUCCAUUGACUUGGACAAUUUCUGACA
rnacentral:misc_RNA from 1 species